UUUUGUUUGCCUUAAAAUUCUUCAUAUUUUAAAAUAAAUCAGAGGAUUCUAGUGGGUUUUUUUAAGUUGCUUGCUUUGGGGCAGGAUUGCUCACACCUAUACCUAUAAUUCAAUUUUAAUUAUGGAGACAUACAAUUAACUACUUCCAGGGUGGUGCAGGAUGAACUAAUCAAUAGACAGCAGCAUGUUUUUUUGCUGAACAGCAUCAAGAGAACAGGUAAAUCCAUAAUUCCCAAGACACAAGUGGAAUAAAUGUCAUCAUUCAUUUGUGAGUCUAUGGGCAUGUUAUGUUCCUUUGUGUGUUCAUCUGAAAAAAGUAAUAUAUGAUAAACCUCUGCCUUAACACAAUUCUUUUCCCAUCACGGAUACAAUAGCACAUUUGCAUCAUCCAUACAUCAGUUAUCCACUACCUUGAUUGGUUUAUUUUACUCAUUGGAUAGCUGGCCAAGUGCAAGGGCCUCUCUAAAAUUGGUAUUUCUGAAGAGACUGCAGACAGCUUCAGGACAUUAUGUAAAUCAAGUGAAUUUCAAAUUAAUUGAUAAAUGCUUUUCCACUUUUUUUUUAAACUGAAAUGCUGUAUUUCUAUAUAGGCUAAUAUUUACACACUAACGGAGUCUGAGUUUAACUAGAAACUCAAAUUUUCAUAAGCAUGAAGGAAAGUGACAGUAAUCUGCUGCUGAAUAAAACUGGUUUUUGCAACUACAGUUUCUACAUUUCAUAAUCCCCGUGUAAUCUCUCUUAAGCACAGAGCUCACUCUUUAAUAUAUGUGCCCCAAAAGAGGUGAAAGGAUCCAAAUCUCUUUUAUUCAUGUAGACUGCAUCAGACUACUAGUUAUUUUAUUAGAACAUAUAAUAGACCUAGCCUGACACAGUAACUCCUGUUGCAGUUACCAGAAAUAGUCCCAGAGCAUUAGCCAAAUGUUAUAUGAUACACCACCACUGGGAACUAUGUUCCUAUUCUACACCAAUUCUAGAAAAGAAACUUCAAUAAAAAACCAUCUCUUCUCAGCAGGGAAGCAGGGAAUGAAAGCAUCUGAAGGACUUAAAUUUCACAUGUUCUUCAGUGGAAAAAAUAAAACCCAUCUGAAACUGCAGGAAAUGAUUGAGGACCUUGUAAAAUUGAUGCAGGAGCAAAAAUAUCACCCAAGAGACGAGGUCACUGCAGCACAGAAGCUCAUCCCAAUAGUCAGCUGUCACUUGUCAGACAGUAGCUACAGACACUUCUCAGGGUAAUCCAUGAUAUUGUGAGGAGACAAACAUUGUCAUAGAUCACGUAAAUUAGCCGAAUCCAGAAGACAAUGGACAGUGUUGCAAGAUGCAAUUCCCAGACUGCUCAGCUGAUUGUGCCGCCUCUGAAACUCAAGCCCUUUUCCUGACUAGAGAUGGACACUGGGAGCAUCACCAAAGACACUGUGCUGUGGUGGUGGAGUGUGACCUUUGAAUGAGAACCCUAUUCUUCCCUUCCGGCUUGAUGUUGUGAUCAAAGUGCCCACUCCUUCUUUAUUUGCACUACAUUAUAAUAGGGACUAAACAUGGGCUCAUCAGUGAGGCAACUGCUGAAGACCCUGUGAGUGCAUGAGGAAAGAGCUGUACUGGCAGAACAAAGACAGGAUAUCCUAGAAAAAUCAAUAUUUUCUCAGUGAUGGUGGUUGUCCUCAGCUUGCCUCCAGCAUCCUAAUUGAUUACAAAAGAAGAAAAGACAACACUGAGUAUGUCUGCAGGAGACUGUGAAACUAAUGACAGAUAUCUGCUGAAUUUCAAUACUUCUCUAAGGAGGUUCACACAGACAGUGCCUGAGGAGUGCAGAGGUCUGAAAUGAAGUAUUUCUCAGCUUUUUGCCAAGUUAAUCUCCUUGUUCAGAGAUCACUUUGUUCAGAGAUCACCUGUGAUACUUUUUAAAGGCACAAUUAAAACUUUUGUUACAUCUCAGUAAAUAUUUGAGUAGAAACAGAGCCAACUACAAAACUACAAAUCCAAUUAAAAUAUUCUUUUCUUUAAAAAAAUUAUCCCCCAGACAUAAACGUGACCUUAACAUCCAUGUGUAUGUAUCAGAAUUAAAAUGUGCUUUGAUGUGCUUUGAUGCAGGAUAUGAAUAUCAAUUGUAUCUCUAGAAAUCCAUGUGAUUCUUGAUCCACAUUUUCCCUGUCCUCUGUAUGAUAAAUAGUGGGUAUAAAUCUAUGAAACUAACUAUACCAAAAUCAUCUACUGUCUUGGAAGCUAAGAAGGAAAAGAAAACACAUCAGCCUGUUUAUUCAAGUUUUCUCUAGAGAAACCAACAAGGAAGUUCUGCCACCUUGGAAAAGCUAUUCUUCCUUACUGCUACAUGUAAAUAUGAUUUGAUAAAAACUGUUCUGAAAUGGAAAUCUCAAAAAUUAAAAAAAUAAUAUCAAGUGCUUAUGUCUGAUAGAUAUAACAGCUCUGUGUCGAGAGGUGGAGGUGAGAAGUCUAGGAGAGCCAAGUAUGUUGUUCUGUGACAGAACAAAAGGGAAUGGUCUCAAGUUGUGCCAGGGUAGGUUUAGAUUGGCUAUUAGAAACAAUUUCCUCACUGAAAGGGCUGUCAAGCACUAGAACAGGCUGGCCAAGGCAGUAGUAGAAUCACUUUCCAUAGAAGCAAUGAGAAACCAUCUAGUUGUGGCAUUUAGGGACGUGGUUCAGUGGUGAAGGCGACUGUGUUAAGUUAAUAGUUGGACUGGAUGAUUUUAGAGGUCUUUUCCAUCUUUAACAAUUCUAUGAUUCUA